GGAAGUCUAAUAUGUCUAUUCUUUGCUUUUACAACCGUGAUGUUAUAAGUAGAAGGCUAAGUCAGCUCACUAGCAGCGUGGUCUCGUGGUAAAGUUGUCAUAUUUCGUAUUGGUUACUGUAUUGUACUGACGUGAGCAACAAAGUUUUUGUAUCUGAACAUUUUUGGGAACGAUGUUGUGAAAUACAAAGCUGUUACAUACUUCA